rnacentral:lncRNA from 10 species
GACAGUGAGACCAAGGGCUUGCUUCGGGGGCUGCCGGCCAAGGCGGCGGCUGGUGGUGGUUUCUGGCUUCGCUGUUCCAUUCCCUUGUCUUGAGGUCUCAGCCGGUUCUCGCUGAGAUGGCUACGUCAGUGAGGCCAGUCACUCCCGGUGCCGCUGCCUUGGCAGAGCUGGUUUAGAACCACCGUGAAGGUCAUCGAACGGGGCCCUCCACCCUGCAAUUGGCCUGCGGCCAUCCUUGAGGCCAUGUGGUCUUUGCAUGAGCACCCAGGAUGCCCUUCAGGAGCAAGAUGGCAGCCGGCAUGUACCUUCUGGAUUUCCUUCUCUGCCAGGGGCCUGCUCUAGUGUUUUCAGCUGCUCCUCCUUGAAUGCCACCUCCACUUCUUCCUUUUGUGACAUGAACAGGUUGCUUCAUGUCUCUGAUAUGGAAUGAGAUGCCCGUGUUUUGAGGCUAUUGGGAGGACUGACCAUCUAGCAGCACAUUGUAGACAGCCAUAGGGGGGUGCCCGGCACACGAGAAUGCCCCCCCGGGACGGGUCUCACUGGCUUUGGGGGCUGUCACCCCCGUGCACCGUCACUAGCACCCCCAACACCUUUUGGGUGUCUGUCCUAGGGUGUCUGCGGUGUGUGCCC